UUUUACAGAAUAAAGAGAGUUUGCGUAGCAGCAUGAAAGCACAGUAGGGCUGCUGAGAAGGGACUUGUGGACAUUUGUCGUCUAUGUUUUGAGGCAGGGGCAAGUAUGGGCCAAGGCACCGCAUGUGCAAGAAGUGAUGGCACCUUGCGUCAGAGAGGAAGGCUGGCUUAUGAAAGGAGGACAAAGUGUUAGACAGGAAAGAGGAAUAAGAUCAGCAGGAGAAAAGUAAACCAGGUGUUCUUACAGGAUGACUGCAAUCUUCUAAGAGAGAAGAGACACCGGCUGGAGGGGCCAUGGGGAUGGAGAUUAGGAAACUGCGGAGGGAGAGGGUCCAGCUCCAGCUCUGUGGGGUUUCUAGGAAAGGACCAACAGGACAUGACUGAGAGGCUGUUCUGGCAGCCCCAGGGUCCUGUUGCGGUUGUUUGCUGGCAUGAAUUCUUAGAUUUACAAUGGGUGAUCAGGGGAGCAGGACAAAUGCAGGAGUCCUUUCUCCCCCUUUCACACUUUGGAUUCUGACCAUGUGGAAGAAAGAAAGGACUGCGAGGAAGUCAAGGUGAGAUGUUACCUGGAACUCGCUGUCCCAUCAAGAGAUCCUGGGAAAUAAGAAGAGCUGAGCAGUAAAAAUUUUAUGAACCUGGAGCUACUACCGAGGCUGAAAACUGCUAACCUUGAGAAAUAAGGAACAAAGAAAUAGAGAUGAAAGCAUUGAGCUGUACCUGGAAUACUUCUGAGAUUUUCAGUAUUA